CCUACGGGAGGCAGCAGUAGGGAAUCUUCCACAAUGGGCGAAAGCCUGAUGGAGCAACGCCGCGUGGGUGAAGAAGGUCUUCGGAUCGUAAAACCCUGUUGUUAGAGAAGAAAGUGCGUGAGAGUAACUGUUCACGUUUCGACGGUAUCUAACCAGAAAGCCACGGCUAACUACGUGCCAGCAGCCGCGGUAAUACGUAGGUGGCAAGCGUUAUCCGGAUUUAUUGGGCGUAAAGGGAUCGCAGGCGGUCUGUUAAGUCUAAUGUGAAAGCCUUGGGCUUAACCGGAGUAGUGCAUUGGAAACUGGGAGACUGGAGUGCAGAAGAGGAGAGUGGAACUCCAGGUGUAGCGGUGAAAUGCGUAGAUAUAUGGAAGAACACCAGUGGCGAAAGCGGCUCUCUGGUCUGUAACUGACGCUGAGGUGCGAAAGCGUGGGUAGCAAACAGGAUUAGAUACCCGAGUAGUC
rnacentral:rRNA from 1 species